rnacentral:rRNA from 1 species
GGAGCAUGUGGUUUAAUUCGAAGCAACGCGAAGAACCUUACCAGGUCUUGACAUCCUUUGACCACUCGAGAGAUCGAGCUUUCCCUUCGGGGACAAAGUGACAGGUGGUGCAUGGUUGUCGUCAGCUCGUGUCGUGAGAUGUUGGGUUAAGUCCCGCAACGAGCGCAACCCUUAUUACUAGUUGCCAGCAUUCAGUUGGGCACUCUAGUGAGACUGCCGGUGACAAACCGGAGGAAGGUGGGGAUGACGUCAAAUCAUCAUGCCCCUUAUGACCUGGGCUACACACGUGCUACAAUGGAUGGUACAACGAGUCGCGAAGUCGUGAGGCCAAGCUAAUCUCUUAAAGCCAUUCUCAGUUCGGAUUGUAGGCUGCAACUCGCCUACANGAAGCCGGAAUC